GAUUAACGCUGGCGGCGUGCAUAACACAUGCAUGUCGAACGAUGAAACUUAAAUGAUUUCUUCGGAAUGAACUUAAGUGGAUUAGUGGCGGACGGGUGAGUAACGCGUGAGUAACCUGCCUUACACAAGGGGAUAGCCGUUGGAAACGACGAAUAAUACCCUAUGAAACUAUCACUUCGCAUGAAGCGAUAGUCAAAGUGUUAGCGGUGUAAGAUGGACUUGCGUCUGAUUAGCUAGUUGGUGAGAAAAAAGCCCACCAAGGCAACGAUCAGUAGCCGGCUUGAGAGAGUGUACGGCCACAUUGGGACUGAGACACGGCCCAGACUCCUACGGGAGGCAGCAGUGGGGAAUUUUGCACAAUGGGGGAAACCCUGAUGCAGCGACGCCGCGUGAUUUAGAAGGCCUUCGGGUUGUAAAAAUCUUUUGUAUAGGAAGAAAAUGACAGUACUAUACGAAUAAGGUCCGGCUAAUUACGUG
rnacentral:rRNA from 1 species